AUUGAACGCUGGCGGCAGGCCUAACACAUGCAAGUCGAACGGUAACAGGAAGCAGCUUGCUGCUUCGCUGACGAGUGGCGAACGGGUGAGUAACACGUGGGUGAUCUGCCCUGCACUUUGGGAUAAGCCUGGGAAACUGGGUCUAAUACCGGAUAGGACCAUCGUUUAGUGUCGGUGGUGGAAAGUUUUUCGGUGUGGGAUGAGCUCGCGGCCUAUCAGCUUGUUGGUGGGGUAAUGGCCUACCAAGGCGUCGACGGGUAGCCGGCCUGAGAGGGUGUACGGCCACAUUGGGACUGAGAUACGGCCCAGACUCCUACGGGAGGCAGCAGUGGGGAAUAUUGCACAAUGGGCGCAAGCCUGAUGCAGCGACGCCGCGUGGGGGAUGACGGCCUUCGGGUUGUAAACUCCUUUCGCCAAGGACGAAGCGUUUUGUGACGGUACUUGGAGAAGAAGCACCGGCUAACUACGUG
rnacentral:rRNA from 1 species